GUGACCUUAAAAACAGGUCUUCCUUCGAGGUCUACAAGGUUUCCAGCAACAAGAAUGGUACAGGUAUUUUGGCGUACGGUUUGACAUGCCGAACAUUUGGCUGGAGUGGUCUGGUCCUGAGACUUGAAGAUUUGUACGUAGUGCCAGAAUACAGAGGACAAGGUGUUGGCAGGGCUGUACUGAUGCACUUAGCAAAGUUGAGCGUAGGAGCGGGGAUAUCUCGACUGGAAUUAAACUCAGCUACCGGAGCAAAAAAAUUCUACCUCGAGCUGGGUGGAAGACAUCAGUCAGACUUGACUAUAAUGCAGUUCAGUAGGGAUUCCAUCGCGAGUCUUGCCGGGAUCACCAACGGCAACUAAUCUUCUACUAAUUCUUCAGACUAAUUGAUAUUUGUUAUGGGCUGGAUAUUUAAUCUAUCGAUUCCAAAGUUUAGGGUCGCCAAUUUUCUAUGAUAUUUGUAAAUUGAAUCAUAAUUGCAGGGUUCAGACAGUCGUAGGUUUACACAAUAAAUUUGCUAAGUCAAGUCUGCACAAUUUUUUAAUCAGUUAAAUUGGACAUAAUACUUUUUGAACUUUGACACCAAUUCCCUUCCAACUAAGAACAAUUAAUUGCUUUCUCUGCAAUAUGAAAGCAUUUUCAAUGAUAGCUAACCCUAAUUGAUAUAUUAGGCAAGUCUUAUACCCAUUUCAUAAUGUCCAGACGGUUUAAUUCUAUGGGAAAUUCGGUCUUCAGACUUCCGGUAGGGACGUUGCUAGUGUUUGUUAUUGUGGUGAAUAACUUGGCCAAAUAUUUGCCCAAUUUCUUGUACACUUCUCACUGUCUGCUGCUUUGUUAUUUGAAUAUAAGAUUUAUGAAAUAUUUGGCAUUUGCCUAAUUCUAUUGUUGA